GUGCUUGCUUCAGCAGCGCAUAGACCAGAAUUAUAACGAUACAGAGAAGAUUAAUUAGCAUGGUCCCUGCACAAGGAUGACAUGCAAAUUUAUGAUGUGUUCUGUAUUGAA